GGGGAAUAUUGCACAAUGGGCGCAAGCCUGAUGCAGCGACGCCGCGUGGGGGAUGACGGCCUUCGGGUUGUAAACUCCUUUCGCUAGGGACGAAGCUUUUUGUGACGGUACCUAGAUAAGAAGCACCGGCUAACUACGUGCCAGCAGCCGCGGUAAUACGUAGGGUGCGAGCGUUGUCCGGAAUUACUGGGCGUAAAGGGCUCGUAGGUGGUUUGUCGCGUCGUCUGUGAAAUUCCGGGGCUUAACUCCGGGCGUGCAGGCGAUACGGGCAUAACUUGAGUACUGUAGGGGUAACUGGAAUUCCUGGUGUAGCGGUGAAAUGCGCAGAUAUCAGGAGGAACACCGAUGGCGAAGGCAGGUUACUGGGCAGUUACUGACGCUGAGGAGCGAAAGCAUGGGUAGCGAACAGGAUUAGAUACCCUGGUAGUCCGUGCCGUAAACGGUGGGCGCUAGGUGUGAGGGUCUUUUCACGACUUUCGUGCCGUAGCUAACGCAUUAAGCGCCCCGCCUGGGGAGUACGGCCGCAAGGCUA
rnacentral:rRNA from 1 species